UACGUAGGGGGCAAGCGUUGUCCGGAUUUACUGGGCGUAAAGAGCGUGUAGGCGGCCAUGCAGGUCCGUUGUGAAAACUGGAGGCUUAACCUCCAGACGUCGACGGAAACCGCGUGGCUAGAGUCCGGAAGAGGAGAGUGGAAUUCCGUGGUGUAGCGGUGAAAUGCGCAGAUAUCAGGAAGAACACCAAUGGCGAAGGCAGCUCUCUGGGACGGUACUGACGCUGAGACGCGAAAGCGUGGGGAGCGAACAGG
rnacentral:rRNA from 1 species